GAUGAAGAACGUAGCGAAAUGCGAUAAGUAAUGUGAAUUGCAGAAUUCAGUGAAUCAUCGAAUCUUUGAACGCACCUUGCGCUCCUUGGCAUUCCGAGGAGCAUGCCUGUUUGAGUGUCAUUAAAUUCUCAAGACCUGUCUGCUUUUUUGAUAGGUAUUGGAUUUUGGGGGUUGCAGGCUGUUUCAAAUAAAUAGCCUUGCUCUCCUUGAAUGUAUUAGUGGAGAAAAGCCAUUGAACUCCAUUGGUGUGAUAAAGCCUAUCAAUGCCAGGAGCAAUAUCACUACUUCUCUCUGCUGUCUAACUGUGACUGUCUGUAUUAAUUAGUAUGGAUGGGGACAACUUGACCAACUUGACCUCAAAUCAGGUAGGACUACCCGCUGAACUUAAGCAUAUCAAUAAGCGGAGGA
rnacentral:misc_RNA from 1 species